AUGCUCCUUCAUUAGAAACGGCCACAUCUGGUGGCACAUAAUCCCACCAUCGACCAUAUGAGGAACCCACGUUGGAGUCACAGUCAGAGAUACCCCAAAUAGACUUGGAACCUUUGGAUGAGAGUAAAAACCACCAUGGGCAGCAGCCUCGUACCGCUUUAUAAUACUGGAAUCGGCCAAAUCAUGGGAACCCCGUCCAUCAUUCGCACCCGCAACCCACGCAGGCGAAGCCUGAGCCACCAUUAACGUAGAAGGGUCGUUGUACUCCCUGUUAAAGCGAUAAUAGUAGCGUUGCGCCAAGUUUCCAAAUCGGCCACAAAUCUGACACUGUACCCGAGAUCGAAAACCCCUCCCACGACCACCAGAAAAGGAGCGACCAUCCACACAGGUUCCAUUACUACCAACAGUAGAUCCGCUUCUAUUAGAUUAGCUUGAAACUAUAUAUCCUGCACCACAUGAUGUUGGCGAUUCUCAUAUUCCAACAAAACAUCUAGAAGCUUUUGCAUGGGAAGGGGCUCAGAGGAGAAAGACAUAAGGGUAGGAACGACAUCAUGCUCCGAUGAUAACCUCGUAAGAACAAUCUUAACCUUCUCAGCCUCUGAGAUCCGAGAUCUAGACACUUCAAUCAAGACACAGGAUAACUUGGCUCCGAUCAUGGCACUAACAAGCAAUUUUCAAUGUUCGACACAUCGCACGAAGUUUUUGCAUCUGUGAAACAAGAGAGGAGAGCACCACUAAUCGUGGAUAGUUACCACGACACGAGCAAACUAUAUUGCUGAUGAAACAACGAAACCUCUGGAUUCAGUACCAGUUGACCUUCUGGAGAUGGAACAAAUCGCGGUGGAGCAGUAUCAUGUCGAGGGAAGCACUGAACUAAUUGAGAUGAAAUGGUGGAUGGAUUACCAGUGUUUGCAGAGAUGGAUUCAGUAGAAUUAGCCAUGAAUGCACAACAAGAGAAAGACUCUAGGACUUAGGCGAAAGAUACCAUAGUGUUUCAAAGAUUGAAGUUGGGGGAGAUACAAAAGCUAGAGAAGGAGGAGUUAAAUGUCCAUCAAAAGAAAAGUACUUGUGUGAGUGGACGGUCAAACAAGUUCAAUAUAGGUUUAAGUUUGAAUUUAGUUGCUUGUUUAACUACUACCAAUAUUCAAUUGAUGGUUGAAUGAGCCACCAGUGCCCAUACUCCAAGAUUUAAGAAAUUUUAUAUUUUCUUUUCAAUGAUGAAUCGCGUUAAUGAAUUGUAGGCCAAUUAUCAGUUUACAUUGUUGCUUCUUAAAAGAGGGUGAAAUUUUGUCCGUUGUUUGUUGAUAUGGAAAUGACCAACUAUAUUCUUUUUCAUGGGCUAUCAUGGAAGUUGAAACUAAGGAUACAUAUGUUGGAAUAUAAUGUUUUAAUGUAGUGAUUUCAUCUA